rnacentral:lncRNA from 1 species
GUUAGUCUCUUGUUUCCGAUUAUAAUUUUUCUAAGUUUACUAAGGGCUGAAAAUAACUAGUUCUGAUUCUGAGAUUAAACUGAUUUUGUCAUUGUAUGAAUGAAUUCUAAAAAAAAUUUAGAUGCUAUUAACACUACUUUUAAAUGAUUUAUAAACCAUUAUACAAAGUUUGAAUUUUUGUUUAAAAGGGUAUUAAAUGUAAAGAAACAAAAUGGAAAAGUAAGCCUUGAAGAAAGUGGUGAAAUGAAACAUCUAAACAAAUUGUGGUAUGAUUGAAACCUUUAAUGCGUUAUUAAGGUGAGUUAAUAAUUGUAUAAGUCCUUAGGGAUAAAAAUUAAAAAAUAAAAGGUAAGAUUCAUAAAUGAAUUAAAUGUCAAAAUUGUUAAUAAAUUAUCAAACUAUAAGUUGAGACUUAACCUGAAAACUCGCAUAAAAUGGUUAAAAAUAGUGACAAUGUGGCUUAAAAAACUUAAAAUGAUUAUUCAUCUAAAGGGCUCAAGGUUUAUAAAGGCUUAGGAUAAAGUUUAAUUGUCCAUGUUACUUACUAAGUUUUAUAACUCACACGUUAGUUGUUUAAAACGAAUAGGUACAAAUUUACUGAGAAGUUGCUAUGAUAGCUAGGGAG